GAGAAAAAUGUUGCCUUUUAGGAGCCAAGAGGGAACAGAGGCCAAAGCAAAAUAAAUCCUUUGCAAGUGAUAGACCAAGGACAUCUGAACAGUACAUCAAUUGUUCUACAGUUCACCUACAAUCUUUUGCGAAGACAGCCUCCCCAAGAGCCAAAGCAAAGAGCUGAUUAAGCUUCUCAGAUAGGCAGAGCCGUCUCCAGCGUCCUGGGAUGUUUUCUGAAACCAUCUGUGAGAAGCCAUUGUUUUUUUGUUUUUUAGCUCAGCUUUACAAGAGGACAAACACAGAGCAAAAGUGUAAGUCAAAACAUAAAUGAAGACACGAUUCUGGAUGUUGAUGUAAAGGAUGGAGACCUACAGGCAGACAAGGGUGUGGACCUACCAUGAAGACCGGCAGGCUGGCUCUGUGGGGCCUUAGUGCUCGUGUUCCCUGACACCUCUGGAGCCUAAAACCCAGCAUGUAGGAAAAACCUAACUAAUAUUUGCAAACAGAUAUCUAUUGACCAGGACAACCAGGAUGGUCAUGAUCUCGGAAAGCAACAGGAAACAGGUUUUUCUAACCAAGAGAAGACUCAGGACUCGGUGGGUGAGUCUGCCCCCACGUCGCCAGCGUAAUCAUGUCACCGGUCUCCAGCUUCUGUGCUCACAAACAGAGGGGGUGUGAUCUUUCACCAUGAAAAGAGGAGCAGUGUCCUAGGAACAGAGAACUGGAAACAAUUGAAGACAGGGUUCGCGGCUGCUCUCUCAACAGAAGAGGUGACUAUGGGGCUCUUGAAACCAAAAAGGAGAAGCCACAAGAAAUUAAGUGAAAAGGCUCAGUAAAUAGUUUGAGAUUUUUAAAAAACCUAAUAAUAAAACAAUGGGGAAUGACAAGAUGCUGUAUUA